rnacentral:rRNA from 1 species
UACGUAGGGCGCGAGCGUUGUCCGGAAUUAUUGGGCGUAAAGAGCUCGUAGGCGGCCGGUUGCGUCUGCUGUGAAAUCCCGGGGCUUAACCCCGGGCGUGCAGUGGAUACGGGCCGGCUGGAGGCAGGCAGGGGAGAAUGGAAUUCCCGGUGUAGCGGUGAAAUGCGUAGAUAUCGGAAGGAACGCCGGUGGCGAAAGCGACGUGCUGGACCCUUUCUGACGCUGAGGCGCGAAAGCCAGGGGAGCAAACGGG